rnacentral:rRNA from 1 species
UACGUAGGGGGCUAGCGUUGUCCGGAAUCAUUGGGCGUAAAGCGCGCGUAGGCGGCUAUCUAAGUCGGAUGUGAAAGCCCCUGGCUUAACUGGGGAAGUGCACCCGAAACUGGGUAGCUAGAGUGCAAAAGAGGGUCGCGGAAUUCCCGGUGUAGAGGUGAAAUUCGUAGAUAUCGGGAGGAACACCGGUGGCGAAGGCGGCGACCUGGGUUGACACUGACGCUGAGGCGCGAAAGCGUGGGUAGCAAACAGG